UGACUUCCUGCAAGAUGUCCGUGACUGAGAACGAUGGAGGGGAACUUUGCAGUCUCCCCACUGCCUUGUGGUGCUCGCUCCAGUACUCCCCACUUUUCAGUCUUCUUUGGUACAUCAUUGCUGCCAGCUGGCUCAGUUAAUUAGUGACCAUAGUGAAAAAUAAUGGGAGAGCAAUUGUCUUCUGCAAGCUCGGACUGGUGUCUGGUCAAUGCACUCUGCUGAAGGAAGGACCAGGAGGAAAUGUGGUGCUAAAUGUCAUCUUUAUAGAAUGCAAGCCCGAAAGAACUGACUGGGUGAAACUAAGGCCUUGACACUGGUCUGGGAAAGGACACUGCUACUGGUUUGCAUAUUCUUCCAAAGAAGCUGGAGAACAUUGUGGAUGCUGCAUUGAUGAUAUCUUUCCACUUUCCCUUUGAAGAUAUAUCAGACUGAAGACCCAGAAGGCGAUUCAAUGAACUGGAAGAGGUGCAGCAAAUCGGGAUUCUAAUAGGAGAGGAUCUGGUUUGGAUGAAUAUAAGAUCAUCAGAGCAUACCUGUUGCACUUAUUCAUAUGUAACUACUUCUGGGAAUCAAAAGAAGGGUUGCCGUAGGAAAGCAACACCUAUCAUCAGGGAUCCCAACUACCCAGGACAUGUUCUCUCCUCACAGCUGCCAUCAGGAAGAAGACACAACAGCCACAGGACUUGUUACACCAGGUUCAGGAAAAGUUAUCACCACAUAAUCAUCAGGCUCUUGAACCAAAUUCACUCGGUUCACUUGCCCCCUCAUUGAAAUAUUCCCACAACCAAUGGACUCACUUUCAAGAAUUCAUGUUCUCAAUAUUUAUUGUUUCUUUGUUGUUAUUAUUAUUGUUAUUUGUUGUUGUACUUGCAUAGUUUGUUGUCUUUUACACACUGGUUGAACACCCAAGUUGGUGUGGUGUUUCAUUGAUUAUGUUAUGGUUAUUAUUCUAUGGAUUUAUUGAGUAUGCCCACAAGAAAAUUAAUCUCGGGGUCAUAUAUGGUGACAUAUAUGUACUUUGACAAUAAUGAACUUUGACCUUUAGUAUCAGUGUAAUCAAAGAUGCAAUCAAUGUUGUUUUAUAUUUUGUAGUUAACAUUAAUGAUGCCACAGCUAGAGUAUUAUGUACAGUUUUGAUCACUGCCAUAUAGGAAGUAUGUGAUUGCUUUGCAUAGGAUGCAGAGGAGAUUUACAAAGAUGAUGCCAGAACUAAAGGCAUUUAUAAUUGAAGAAAGGCUGUCUAAUCUGCUGUCUUCAGUACGGUGGAGGCUGAGGAAUGACGUAUUCCCUUUUGCAGUAAGGUGAGUACCUAGGGGAGAUUGAUUUGUGUUCAAUGGUCAAACGAUUAGAGGAGAGGUGAGAAGAAAACAUUUCAUUCAGUAAGUGGCGGCGAUGUAGAACCUACUGCCUGAAAGGGUAGUGGAGACAGAUGCUCUCAUCAUAUUUAAAGUGCUUGGUUGAACACUUGAAGAACUGUAAUCUGUUGGGUACAGAAUCAAGAGCUGGGAAUGAGGCUAGCUUGAUUUCAAGUUUUCACCAACAAUGAAUGAAAGAUGAACAUUAGAUUAAUAUGUAGUAAUGCUGUAAUUUCUUAGUUUAAAAUUGUGUUAUGAUUAUUAUAA